GCGUAAGAAGGCACGGCACUCUGCCGUGCCCAGCGGCACGGUAGAGGAGCCGGUUCCCCCGCUCCCCCCGCGCCACUCCACUGCCUCGCGUCAUUCCCAACUCCGGCCGCCGAUCCAGCGCGCCGCGCGACGCGCCGGUUGUCAUGCUGGUCGCCGUCACCAGCGAUCUCGCCGCCGCCCCGUCACCAGCGACCGAGCCGCCUCCCCAUCCGCCCUCGUUCACCGUCCCACCCCCUCUUCAGCGCCGGCAGGGCGUCUCCGCGCUCGCCGCGUCUAUGGGCAUCGCCAUCGGCCUCUCCUCUCCGGCACCGGCAGGGCGACACCGCAAGCGACGCGCGGGAGCAGCUCCAGCUCGAGGGGAUGCGGUUGUGGCGGAGGCCGAGUGCCGUCUGCUCGCCUUCAUCGCCGCGGCGAGCAUCGAGGCCGUGUCCCUCUACGAGCUCUUCACGCGGCGCUAACCGUCGGCCCUCCACUGCGCUCUAAUCCCCCUCCCUCUGCAAGCUACUCGUCGGCCGGCACCACUCCCUCCAACUGGGCGACGCGCAGUGGCCGGAUGCCGGCGACGACGUCGAGGAGUCCAUGCGCGGCAGAGGGUUGGCGAUGCGUCCCCCAACCCGGGACGACGACGACUUCACCUCCGUGCGUGAGGAGACGGAUGUGCCAGCCCUCCCUUCCUCACCUUACCUUAGUCUGCGCACACCAGGCAAGGCGGAUUCGCGCCGUCGUCAAGGGCUCGCGCGCCGCUUCCUCGUCUGCUUCUGAUCCGCCGUGGAGGCGUGCGCCGUGCCUUGGGCUUGCAGCAAAGCUUAGGUCCAACGUGCAGACUGCAGCCAGUCCGCCCAUGUCUCAACACAUCACACUGAAUUGUUGAUGAAUGAAGAGGGGGGCGUCUUGAAGCUGCAUUCUUCAUCGUCUUUCUUCUCCAGGGAAGCAGAGCGUCCACGCAUUCUCUCCCAGGAGGUAUAAAUCAAAUCCCGCUAUGUCGUGCUAGGUCAUUUCCGUUUGGGGGAUUUAGGUAUGUUGUCAACGAUGGCAAAUUCGAGCCGGAUCAGUCUGGGGUGUGAUAUGGCUGAAAAUUGAGGCAGAGAUGAGAUGGAUCUUUUAGUUUCCUCACACUUUGUUGGUGGAGUAGAUGCAUCACAGAUUCACAAUGUAUAUUGGGAAGUACAGUAGUUGUUUUGUUCAUGGUGUUUUUGAUGGGUCUUUUCCUCUGAUCUAACCAUGUAUAGGGGAAGUAGUUGUUUUGUUCACUGAUGGUUGUCCAUUUCUGUAAAUUGUCUAUAAUGUGAUUCUGCCAUAGCAAAUCUUCAACAUAUCUUGCUAUGGGUAGCUCAAGAUCGAGUUUGCCAUGGCAAACUUAAAGAUUUGUUGUCUUUCUGCCA